GGCAAAUAACCAUAAACUAUCGAACAGCCAAGAAUGGACUAAUCGAAUUAAUCUAGGUUCCUAGAGAAACUUUUCACAGGACUACAGCACGCAGCUACCGUACUUUCAUUUCUUCCAAGGUCAUCGUUCUCUUCCACCUCGCACUCCCACCAGGUUCUGUCACAAGAAAGUACGAGCCGUUACUUCAGGCAGUCUGGCUGGUCGUCUCGAGUGUGUGACCACGAUUUCUUAACGUGUGGAUUAUGACGCGGGCUAAUGAUCCUUGUAUAGUUUAUCCGCAUCAAAGUUAGUGCGAAUAAAAAGAAGACGAACCUUUUCCGAUGCUUGUUACUAACAAUGCAGUGGUUCCUGUUUUUAUUCUGCAGUGAGUGAAAGCUUGCUUUUGAAUAUGUGUGUAUUACUUUGCGAGAUAGCGUUUAUCAUCCAAA